GUGUCCAUUGAGUUUGUGCUCCCUGUGUGCCAGGUAUCAUAUCAAGAGAGAUUAAAUAAUAUCUAAGAGACUGAUUCUAUUAAAGGCUGUUGCCAAGGAGGCAGAAAGAAGCUAAGUAACUGGGAAAGGUCACACUGCUCACGAGUGGCCCUUUCUGAAAGUUUCUGCACUUUCAGAAACUUUCAGAACUGGGAACAUUGCUCCUAACUUCUUCUCAAGUUUAUUCCAAGGCUCAUUGGAAAUAAAAGCAGGACAAAAAGGGUCUUUUCAAAGGAAACAAUUGCAGUUUUUCAUAAGUGGGGCAUUUAAGGUUAACCUUGGCCAUGCAAUUACAUAGAACUUAGAACUUUCAGAAACAAAUUGGAUUCCUCCCACCUGUGCCACCUCUGGUGAAAUGGAAACCUGAAGAAGGCGGCGGCUGGUGGCCAGUGCCAUUUGCUCCUAAGCAACAGUCAAAGUUACAAGAAAUGGAAGAGCGACCCGACCCGGGCACGCAAGGAGACAGGAGACUGAGGCUCCACCAAGCCCACGCUGCCCUAUCUCCCUGGAGAUGACACAAGAGAAAGAAAAACUUUCCCAGUCUGUGCAGCUAUAAAGCAUGACUACAGAGCCCAAGGAAGCUCCAUAAACCUGCCUCUUAGCAGCACAUCCACAGAAAGACCCAGCUCAAGAGAGCCCGUGAGUAAUUAGUUCAGGAUCGGCUGUCUUUGUGCUCCUCGCUCAGUCUUACCUUAGUGACAGAUAACGAGCUUCGGAUCCAAGCCCCGCG